rnacentral:rRNA from 1 species
AUGAGGAAGAAGAAGGCGGCGGCGACGGCGCCUGUACCCGCGGCUGCCAAGACGAGAGCGGUGGCAGCGGCCGUAGCCGAGGCCAAGAAGAAGGCGACGGCGGCAGAUGUUGCCAAGAAGAAGAAGACGGUGCCCGCAGCCAAGAAGAAGAAGGCGACGGCGGCACCUGCAGCCAAGAAGCGCGCAUCCGGUGGAACGGACGGGUGCAGGCCACGGAAACGGGCACGGGAUGACAACUGCGACGGCGAUCUCAUCAGCAACCUUCCGGAGGCCGUCCUCUGCACCAUCAUCUCCCUCCUCCCCACCAAGGACGGCGCUCGCACGCAGGCCAUCGCCCGCCGAUGGCGCCCCCUCUGGCGCUCCGCGCCUCUCAACAUCGACGCCCAGAAUCUCAGGACCGGCCGCAGUUUGCCCCUUCGCUGUAAAAAGAAGAACCUCAGCACCAAUAAUUUUCAGCCGUCGUGCCGCUGCCGAGGGCCUCGACCACCGACGGACUCCAUCGUUUCCAGGAUCCUCUCCGACCACCUUGGCCCCGCUCGCUGCUUCGACUUCCGCUUAACCUGCAUCUGCCCGAAAAAAGAAGGGCACGCCCAGAAAAUUGCUCAGAUUGAGAGCUGGUUCCACUCUCGAAGCCCGCACAACCUUCAGGAGCUACAUAUCUUCUUCCCGAUCUUGUGUCGAGCAGCUCGAUACUCCUUGCCAUCAUCCGUGCUCCGCUUCGCAUCGACUGUCGUUGUGGCUACAAUCGGCCACUGCGAUGUCCCAAAAGAGAUCGCUCCUUUACUGAAUUUCCCCCUCCUCAAGCAUCUCACCCUACGGAGCGUUUCCAUGUCAGAGGAUGUCUUCCCUCGGGCGAUCUCCUCCUGCCAUGUGUUGGAGACCCUAUAUCUGCAGGGAAAUGCUUAUAGUGGUCCCUCCACAUUAGCUCGCCAACUCUUAGGAGCAUCGCCUUCAGUCAUUGUUAUGUUGGCAAACAAGAAUUGGUUAUUGAGGACACCCCUCGCCUUCAAAGGCUGCUUUGUCCAUGCUCAGAUAGUUUGA